GAUGAACGCUGGCGGCGUGCCUAAUACAUGCAAGUCGAGCGAACAGACGAUGCGCUUGCUCCUCUGACGUUAGCGGCGGACGGGUGAGUAACACGUGGAUAACCUACCUAUAAGACUGGGAUAACUUCGGGAAACCGGCGCUAAUACCGGAUAAUCUAUUGAACCGCAUGGUUCAAUAGUGAAAGACGGUUUUUCUGUCACUUCUCGCUGGAUCCGGGCCGUAUUGGAUAGUUGGUAAGGUAACGGCUUACCAAGGCGACGAUGCGUAGCCGAACUCAGAGAGGGAUAGGCGACCUGGGAGGGGGACCGGGGACAAGAGGACUGAGGGAGGGAGCAGAAUGGAACGGGAGGCAACAGGCGGAAGUAUGACGGAGUAACGGGGAGUCAGAGAUAAAGACCCUCGGAGCGGGAUAAUGGGUUACGAGGUAUAAACAAAUGUGGAAGGAGAUAUGGAGGGAGUGACGGUACCGAAUAAGGAAGCCACGGCUAACUACGUG
rnacentral:rRNA from 1 species